CAGUCGCGUUCUCUGGGAUUCAGCCUUGCUUCUUGCUUGGUGCAUUUCCUAGUCUACGGGCCAGCAUGAAUCUUGAGCGGUGGAAAAGGGUUUGGGGAAUGUGGCACCUCCGGGUGUGUUAUAGCCCCUUGCUGUAUACACUGGUUGGGAUUGAGGUUUGCAACGAAUACCUUCAGGGCUGUUCCACCUGGCCUCUCAUCGGCAUCCUGGCCGACGACAGCUUGCUGACGUUGUUAGGAUCAGCCUUACGAACAGGCUAGAGUGUGAG
rnacentral:rRNA from 1 species